ensembl:lncRNA
UUAUCUUUUUAAGUAUACAGUCUGCUGAGAGCAAGGAGUUAAGGGUAGAAGCAGCAGUGAACUCUUUUUUUUUUUUUCCCCUAAUUGUAGCUGGACUUCUGAAAAUAUUCUGACAGCAGCAUAAAAGCUAUCUCCGUGCAUGAAUCAAUCUAGUAUUUUAGCAACACGAGAAAUCUAUAAUGGCAGGAAUCUAAAGAAGCCGGCCUUUGGGUUACAUAUGUAUAAGCAUAUUCUCCGAUGAACUUCCCAGAUUGAAGCUGAUCAAAUGACUCAUUAACAGAAAACCACGUGAGAUACCAACACAUCACAAGAGCUUCUUAACAACGACGAACCAUUAAUACCUACUCCACCAGCAUUAGAUCCUGGAGGUUGAAGACCCCUGCGUUAGACCUCAUUUCUUUCAUUUGGCAAUUAUCCCUCCAAUCGAUAUUUAUUACCUCUGCUGCUGCUGCUAAGUCGCUUCAGUCGUGUCCGACUCUGUGCAACCCCAUAGACGGCAGCCCACCAGGAUCCUCCGUCCCUGGGAUUCUCCAGGCAAGAACACGGAGUGGGUUGCCAUUUCCUUCUCCCUUAUUACCUCUAACCGCAGCUAAACAUCCUUGAAAAAGUAUUCCUUAUUUAUUCAGUGUUGCCCUAUUUUACAUAUUUAAAAUAUCCAUAUUCCAUACACGGUAUGGAGUUAUGCAAAACUUUCUCUGUACAGACAACCAAACAAACACCUCAAGGCACACAAGCCACAAAAUGGAAGUCUGCAAUGUAUAGAGGAUGAAAUGGACUUCAGGGGAGCAACUGUUUUUUAGCAAUGGUGCUAAUAGCUCAAAAGCGAUCAUGUUGGAGAUAUUAAAAAAGUAAAACACUGCCAGAGGCUGUGGACAAUGUGGAUUAAGACACACAUAGGAAAUCUCAAUACCGUGCUAGAGAUGAGAACGUGACAGCUAGGUUACCAUGGAGACAGAGCAAAGACACCAGCUACUAAUCUGAAUACCAAUUAACAGCUAGCACUUCUUUAUGUUACUAAAAUUCGUUGUCAGGGCAACACACAGGAUUGGCUCACAUUAUCAAAUGAAUAACAAACUGAAUCCAAAAAGUCAGAUUCUUUAAGAUCCAUAAAAUUCUAAAGAAACUAUUUAUAGAGAUUCAUGCAGCUUUCAGGAUAGUA